rnacentral:lncRNA from 1 species
CCUCAUGAUAAGCUCUCACAUGGAAAUGAUGAAUAGUUGCUCUGCCUAGUUCUCAAAAUUGAAAUCUUUCUCAAGUUUAGGCAUGACUGUUAUGAAUUAAGAUUUGCUCUAAAACCUGAACUUGUGGGAAGAGUACUUGAUCUAAAGUCUAAGUCAUUAACGGAUAUGAUAUGGAAAGGUUGAGCUGCUGUUUAUCUGUUCCUAGAGAUGUUAGAAUUAUGGAGAAUUUUAUCUUUGAAAAUCUUUAAAAUAACACAUGAUGAGUUCCUAUAUGAUGAGAGUUUAAAAUCCUACCGCAGCCAGAUAUACAUGCUUAUUAGACUUUGAGCCACACAUUUACUUUUUACUGCUUAUGAGCGCUAAGUGUGGUCAAGCUGUGUAGACCCUUAGGAGCUUGUCAUGUGGUUAAAAUCAAGAUUCACUUGCACGUUCACUCACACAUGCUGCUUCUACUCCGGAAGUACGCAUCCACAUAUAUCCACUCACUUCCAUCUCCAGAGCCACCCAAAAGUAUUCUACUCCUUAUCUGGGAGAGAAUAGCCAAAAACAUUCUCCUAUUUCUGUUUUUCCCUGUGAAAUAAAUGCUCGAGUUAUCUUGGUUACUACCACUUGCCAUAUUAUUUCAGGAGAUGAGUGCUCUAGUAAAAAAAGAGAGAAAGAAUAUGAGGAAAUAAAAAGGGGCAAGUGCCCGGAACCUCGAAGAAAAAGAAAAAGUGAGACGAGAGGUAAAAAUGGACAAGUGUCCGACAGUAGAAUUAGGGGUACAAGAUACCCACCGGAGAGAAAAGAAAAAGAAAAUAUAAGAGCAUCUCAUUCUCCUCAAAAAGCUUCAAAGUGCAAGAAAGGUAUGUAUCCCCUCAAAAGAGCAAAAGUAGAAUUAGACUUUCACCAUUGUUAUCACCAUCAUCAACAUACACCAUUCACUCGCCACACAUGCACAUCUUGAUUUGACUUAUUGACUUGUUUCUCUAGAUCCAUGGUUUGACUAUGCAAUAAAUGUCUUGUAAGUAUGUAUUAUAUGUCUCCCACCUAUGAGCUCCAGAUAUCAAAACCUUAUUAGAGUAGGGUGAGAGAGAAGGCAAUAUCACUAUGCCUCACACCAAAAAUACCACAUACUUUGAGAGA